rnacentral:lncRNA from 1 species
AGCCUGUACUACAUAGCAAGACCCUGUCUCCAAAAAGCAAAAAAAAAUUUAUUCCCACAUCCUUUGUGCUCUCAUUAGGCCAUCAGGAAGGUCCACACUGGCACUGUCCACCAGAGGUAAAACUGAGCCACAUGCUCAAUGGUCAGCUUUCUAGCAACUCUCUUCUACAGAGGUAAAAGAGCAGUGCUGGAAUGAGCCCAGGCCCUCCGCUCGAGCAAGUGCUCCACGGCUGAGCCUUCCGCCUGUCUUGUCACCGGAGGGACACUCAGGCCGCAGACCCCAGGGCCCGCCUGUCCUGCUGCUGAUGUGUUUGGCUCCCGAGAUGUCCAGGCUGUCCAUGGCUCCUGAGCAUGCAUCCAUUUCUCCAUCCGAUUCCCGAUGUUCAUCUCCUGUCCAGAGUGGCUCUGCCCACCUACGGCUGACCCCAAGACGUACAAUCUGGACUGUCACACGGCCCAGUGUGCAGAAGGCCUCACUCUGGGUCAAAUGCUCUGCUGUGGCCAUCUCGC